rfam:Dendroctonus ponderosae Seq01001870, whole genome shotgun sequence.
GCUUUUCCUUAUCUGUCUCUAAUACGUAGGUUUAUCUGGAGCCUGUCUUCCUGCAUUCUUGACGUAAAAAUGCACGAAGACAGGCCCAUCAGUUUAGUUUCUGCUCUCCUGAAAGAG